AGCCACAUGUAUAUAUAUUUGGUUAUUUCUGCCCAGUGACUUUUUAACGGCCGCAGUACUUUGACUGUGCUAAGGUAGCAUAAUCAAUUGACUUUUAAAUGAAGUCUAGAAUGAAAGGAUUUAUGGGGAAUAUCUGUCUUUUAGUGGGUUUCAUUAAGUUAUUUAAAAGGUGAAAAUCCCUUUACUUUUUUAAAAGACGAGAAGACCCUUAGAGUUUUUUUGUUGGGGUGACAAAUAAACAAACUUUAUUUAAAGAGAGAUAAAACUACCUUAGGGAUAACAGCAUAAUUUUACUUUAAGAUUGUGACCUCGAUGUUGGACUAGGGAUUUUAUAGUAAGAAACUAAAAAAAAGGGUUCUGUUCGAACUUAAUCUCCU
rnacentral:rRNA from 1 species